rnacentral:rRNA from 1 species
AGCAGCCGCGGUAAUUCCAGCUCCAAUAGCGUAUAUUAAAGUUGUUGCAGUUAAAAAGCUCGUAGUUGAAUUUCGGGGUUAGUAGAUUGGUCGUGCCUCCGGUAUGUACUGGUCUUACUGAUUCCUCCUUCUUGAAGAACUGUAAUGCCAUUAAUUUGGUGUUAUGGGGAAUCUGGACUGUUACUUUGAAAAAAUUAGAGUGUUUAAAGCAGGCUAACGCUUGAAUACAUUAGCAUGGAAUAAUGAAAUAGGACGAUCGAUCCUAUUUUGUUGGUUUCUAGGAUUGACGUAAUGAUUAAUAGGGAUAGUUGGGGCAUUAGUAUUCAAUUGUCAGAGGUGAAAUUCUUGGAUUUAUGAAGACUAACUACUG